UGUGCUCAAAUAUACCUUAAAAGUGACUUAAUUACUGAGAUAACACCCAUCAAGGAGGGUCUUACUCAAAUAACACUUAAAAGUUGUCAAAAGUCUUUUAAACCUCUCUAAAAAUUUUAUUUACAUUUGUGCCAUUUUGAAUUAAAAAACCCCCCAGAAAAAAAAAAAUUAUAAAACCAAGAGCACAACAACCCUAAAUCCAAAAAUCAUUUCUCUCAUUUUGGUUUGAACAACAACCGACGGCGGCGACCGUCUCCUCCGCCAUAACCAAUCCUCACCACCACCACCGUCGCUGUUACGCCACCGCACCAGAGCCCAACCGAAAAGCUAAAUCCAAUUCUUCUCUCACCAAACUACUCCCGUCACUACCGCAGCAACACUCACCUUCUCCUGCUCCAGUCUCCGCGACUCAUUCUCUCUCUAAUCACUGAUAUAGCUUAUACAAUGUGACCAAUCCCAUCGGAGAGGAACAUCUUUCUCGCGCCGGCAACAACAACAACAACCGCCACUGUUGAGACUCACAAUUGUGUCGGACCAGGAUCUAGCGAAAGGAGUCGAGACUUUGCUUCGGCAAUCAGACCCUAGCUCUCUCACAUCGUUAACCAGUGUUGUUCAACAGCUUGAAGCUAAGUUAGGGUUUGACCUCAGGAGAAGACGACUUUCAUCAGAAAUCAGAUCAAUAUCCUCCUCCGUGCUCACCAAAACCCUUCAGCCUCCGUCGCCUCCGCUUCAUCCGUACAACAAUCUCAUCCUCGUUGGUGAACCUGCUCUUCCCAGAACUGAGAUUGUGAGGCAAUUGUGGGCUUACAUAAGGAAGAACAACCUUCAAGACCCGAGUAACAAGCGGAAGAUCAUCUGUGAUGAUGCGUUGCGUUUGGUCUUUGAGCGCUGUUUGUCAGUUCGUAACUAACGUUAAUAUGAGCAAUGGAAGGGUGCCUCUCCCAACUAACCGGCCAAAUGGAACAGCUUGUCCCGGGACAAUGCCCUCUACAUCAACUUCAACACCACCCUCUCAGACCCAAACUGUUGUUGUAGAAAACCCCAUGUCCGUUGAUGAAAGUGGAAAGUUGGUGACCAAUGUUGUUGUUGGUGUGACCACCGAUAAAAAGUAACCAAGAAUGCGUGAGAUCUUAAAGAUCAAAUCCAAAUUCUUCUUCUAUUCCUGCGUUUGGUUUGUGCAUAUUACAUACGCGGAAAAACUGUAUGUUUAUAUAUCUCUUGACUCUUUUUUAACCUAAGAGAAAAGGCUGAUCAGAAUCUCUUGUUACUGCAUUAUUGGGGUUUAUUCAAAGUUGGAAGACACACAUAAAGGUUUUUGCUCUAAGAAUUUGGCACUCUUUUGCUCCAUGGAACUUGACCUUCUCUUCUGUUUGUAGACUUGUAAAACUCCAUUGGCCCUUCUGACAUUGUUAAUGUAUGUAUUAAUAUAAUCUGAUACACCAACCAAACAUUAAGAUUUGGGUUUGAAAUCUGUCUUUUCUGUGAAUGAGUUAUGCUACAUGGCACAAGAACUGGACUUAGCUUUGGUAGAUAAGACUUAGCUUCGGUUUUAUUCCGGAUUAAAAACUUCAAUAUAUGUGUUGACUUGGUCUCUUGAUAAACGUUUGGAAAAAAGCUAAACGCAACUCUAGUAUCUGCUGCUGCAAACGCGGCGGUAUUCGUGGCGGAGUUGGCGAAGAAUGGAAACAAGCAUGCCAAGUGGAACAAAGUCUGCGACAGGUUUGCCACUUACUCAUCGCCGCAUUCGCCGGAGUCAUUCUAAUGCUCCUCGUCUCAUCCGUCUCCAUUUCCCGCCUCUUAAUCAAUUCUAAACACUUAUCCACCACCGCCACCACAACCGCCGUCGUCUAAAACAUCGUGGCCCAAAUUCAGCAAUAUGUGUUUGUAUGCAUAUCAUAGAUGUUGUGGCUUACUUUGUGUGUUGUCUCUCAAGUCACUAUCAGAUUGUCUAAUGCACUCCCCUGUUCUAUCACUUUCACAUUUGUAUACGAGUUUUAAUU